rnacentral:rRNA from 1 species
UACGUAGGGCGCGAGCGUUGUCCGGAAUUAUUGGGCGUAAAGGGCUCGUAGGCGGUCUGUUGCGUCGGGAGUGAAAACUCAGGGCUUAACCCUGAGCCUGCUUCCGAUACGGGCAGACUAGAGGUAUGCAGGGGAGAACGGAAUUCCUGGUGUAGCGGUGAAAUGCGCAGAUAUCAGGAGGAACACCGGUGGCGAAGGCGGUUCUCUGGGCAUUACCUGACGCUGAGGAGCGAAAGUGUGGGGAGCGAACAGG